AGGGCUGCGCGCCCGGCGGGCGUGUAGUCGGGGCCGCCGAGACGGCUCCGCAGCUGCGGGAAGGCCAGUCCCCGGGCCACGGCCGGAGACUGUCUCUUAUUGCUGGCUGGACACCAACGCCUGGCUGAGCCUAGCCAUCCCUCAGGAUCUACCUCCCUCAGCCCGGGUUGGGCUGACCUCACAAAUGCCACUACUCGGGGUCGCCCUCAACUGUGUCUCCGGGAGGGGUAGGCCGAGGAGACUGCCCUUCCCGGAACUCCCCGAGAGCGAGAGCUCCGAGCGCCCGGAAACUACAAUUCCCAGGGCUCUGCGCGCCCCCAGGGGCGGGACUUCCUGGCGGCGACUCGCGCGGAGAGGAGAUGGCCGAGGCGCCGGGCUCGGGGCGCCGCUCGCUAUACAAGGCGACGGGUUCGCCGUCCUGGAAAGAGGCUUUUCGGCAGGGAUGCCUGGAGAGAAUGAGAAACAGCCGGGACAGGCUCCUGAACAGAUACCGCCAGGCAGGAGGCGGUGUGCCAGGGAGCGCUCAGAGCACCCUUCUGGUGCACGAAGUGAUGGAAGAGGAGUGGAGUGCGUUGCGGUCGGUGGAGGGCCGUCCAGAGGUCUCGGCUCAGUUGGAGGAGCCCGUGGACCUGGCUGUGCUCGAGGAGAUCCAGCAGGAGCUGGCCGACCAAGGUGUGCCCUGGGGUCAUCCUUCCGCCUGCACAUCCCUAUGCUAACGCAACGUUUGUUUAUUUUGGAGAGAGAAAGAGGAGGGGCAGAGAGAGGGGGACAGAGGAUCUGAAGCAGGCGCUGAGCUGACAGCUGAGAGCCUGAUGUGGGGCUCAAACCCACCAACCGUGAGAUCGUGAUCUGAGGCCAAGUCGGAUGCUUAACCGACUGAGCCACCCGGGCGCCCCGCUGCCCACUUUUCAGAGAGGAUUAAUUGUGCCUCCACGUUAGCUUCAGGCGGGUGUCAGAAGGCCCUGUUUUGACUUUCAAGUCUCCGCUAUCUGCCCGAGAAUAAGUCUUUUGGGCGCUGGGCCUUGUGCUCAGACUCUGCGUUCCGUGGUGUUGUUUUCUCCUGGUGGCUAGCGGACAAGGUACCCUGAGACAGAAGGCAGUGCUGUCGCGCCCGGGGGGGCGCAGCUCGGGGUGCGGCCGGGAAGCAGCAUCCGUUCCGUGGAACGCGGUCCCAUGUUUAUUCUGUGCGGCGGUUCCUUUCUGUUUACAGAGGAAUAGUACACCGAGCCCAGCUCCGUCCCAACGUAACUUUAUUUGAAAAGUCGGACGUGGGCUGUGGUUUGCUGACCCCCUGCGCUGCAGCCUAGACCGUGAGCUCAUCGAGAGCAGGGACCGGCGUCUUUCACCUCUGUCCCUCUUUCCUACCGCCUACGUCCUGGGCAUCGUGGCCCGCUUGCCGCAUGAAAGAACACAGAUUGUGCACGACACAGACCGAGCAUACGGACGCUGGAGAACAGGGCACUUCACACUCAGCAGGGUGGGCUGGGCGACGGCAGGAAGUGCCCUGUAAGUGUCCCCUCUCUCCAGCUGCCCCCCAGGGCCCUGACCCACCACGCUCUGCUCCCGCAGCCUCUGGAGCGAGCGGAGCAUCAUCGGCGAGUAUGAGAAGAGCUUGCAGUUCGACGAGCGGUGUCUCAGCAUCAUACUGGCCGAAUGGGAAGCAAACCCCCUCAUCUGUCCUGUG